rnacentral:rRNA from 1 species
GAUGAACGCUGGCGGCGUGCCUAAUACAUGCAAGUCGAGCGAACGGACGAGAAGCUUGCUUCUCUGAUGUUAGCGGCGGACGGGUGAGUAACACGUGGAUAACCUACCUAUAAGACUGGGAUAACUUCGGGAAACCGGAGCUAAUACCGGAUAAUAUCUUGAACCGCAUGGUUCAAAAGUGAAAGACGGUCUUGCUGUCACUUAUAGAUGGAUCCGCGCUGCAUUAGCUAGUUGGUACGGUAACGGCUUACCAAGGCAACGAUGCAUAGCCGACCUGAGAGGGGGAUCGGCGACACUGGAGGUGAGACACGGUCCAGACUCCUACGGGAGGCAGCAGUAGGGAAUCUUCCGCAAUGGGCGAAAGCCUGACGGAGCAACGCCGCGUGAGUGAUGAAGGUCUUCGGAUCGUAAAACUCUGUUAUUAGGGAAGAACAUAUGUGUAAGUAACUGUGCACAUCUUGACGGUACCUAAUCAGAAAGCAACGGCUAACUACGUG